UACAGGGGGUGCAAACGUUGCUCGGAAUUAUUGGGCGUAAAGCGCGCGUAGGCGGCUACUUAAGUCGGAUGUGAAAGCCCUUGGCUCAACUGAGGAAGUGCACCCGAAACUGAGUGGCUUGAGUACUAAAGAGGGUCGCGGAAUUCCUGGUGUAGCGGUGAAAUGCGCAGAUAUCAGGAGGAACACCGGUGGCGAAGGCGGGUCUCUGGGCCGAUACUGACGCUGAGGAGCGAAAGCGUGGGGAGCGAACAGG
rnacentral:rRNA from 1 species